UUUCUUCCUAUCCGUCUAAGUUUUGUUUUUAUGGACAGAGUUAUUUGAUAAUUGUCUUGAUGGGAGGUAAAAGUACCCGGUGAAACAGACAGGGUGCAAAGGAUAGAAAGAAUUGUGAUACUUUUCGUAGGUGGUGGUCCAAUUUGUGCUGUCAUUCCAGUGUGCUUGUCCCUCUCAACUUUCCAUUUUCCACCUCUUCUCAUUCCCUUCUUUUUCUUCUUUUUUUUCAACUAUGGUAAUUGUAGUAAACUAAAAUGAAUGAUUACUGCCAUUGAGAUGCUUACAAGUAAUGCAGUCUGUUCAUGUUUGCUAUGCACUUUCUAUCAAGUGUAUGACAGGACCCAAGAUCUACGUGUAGUUCCAAAUUUUGUUAAUCAAAUUUCCUCUAUAUGGUGUUGGAGUAGGGCCAUUGAUAAGUGACUGGACAUUAUGGAUCGGCCCCCUCAAAGAGUAGUAUUCUGUGGGAGCACACAGAUUUGCAAGCAACCCAGUUUUCAUGAUGGUUAGGUUUGUACAGCUUAGUGGUUUUCGUUGUUUCCCUUUAUGGCAUGAUGCGGGAUGAAAAUCAUAAAAGAUCAAUGUUCAAAUUCCAGCAAAGAGCAAAAGGCGGUAGUCGAUACACGAUACACGGAUGUAUUUAGAAACAUACCGACAAUUUCAAGUUUGUGGAGAAGUAGAGAGGAAAAGGACAAUACUUCUGCAGCAAUGUGAAGAAGUCCAUCAAGUCUCAAAGACUUUAAAGACUAUGGGGUAUGGGCAAUGAACCUUUUUGCAGGUAUGGUUGGAAUUUAAUAAAGCAUGUUCUGGGUUGGAUUUGUUUUUUUACUUUCAAGCAUAAAUAUGAUUGAUAUAUUUUAAUAUUAUAUUAUUAAAUUAAUUAUAUUUUCCAUUAUUAUAUAGAAGUAUGAAGUUAAGGACCACCAGCGAAUAUGGUGCAAUAAGUA